GCGAUGAACAUUGAAUGAUCCCUUCGGGGUGAUUUCGAUCGGAUUAGCGGCGAACGGGUGAGUAACGCGUGAGGAACCUGCCUCUUACAACGGGAUAGCCUCGGGAAACCGGGAUUAAUACCGUAUAAGACUCCGACAUCUCCUGAUGAUGAAGUCAAAGCGUUAGCGGUCAGAGAUGGCCUCGCGUCUGAUUAGCUUGUUGGCGGGGUAACGGCCCACCAAGGCGACGAUCAGUAACCGGCCUGAGAGGGUGAACGGUCACAUUGGAACUGAGACACGGUCCAAACUCCUACGGGAGGCAGCAGUGGGGAAUCUUGCACAAUGGGGGCAACCCUGAUGCAGCGACGCCGCGUGAGCGAUGAAGGUUUUCGAAUCGUAAAGCUCUGUCCUAUGGGAAGAUAAUGACGGUACCAUGGGAGGAAGCCCCGGCUAACUACGUGCCAGCAGCCGCGGUAAUACGUAGGGGGCGAGCGUUGUCCGGAAUUACUGGGCGUAAAGGGUUCGCAGGCGGCAUGGCAAGUCCGAUGUAAAAGGCGAAGGCUCAACCUUCGUAAGCAUCGGAAACUGUCAAGCUUGAGUGAAGGAGAGGCAAGUGGAAUUCCUAGUGUAGCGGUGGAAUGCGUAGAUAUUAGGAGGAAUACCGGUGGCGAAGGCGACUUGCUGGACUUCAACUGACGCUGAGGAACGAAAGCGUGGGUAGCAAACAGGAUUAGAUACCCUGGUAGUCCACGCCGUAAACGAUGAGUGCUAGGUGUCGGGGG
rnacentral:rRNA from 1 species